rnacentral:rRNA from 1 species
AUGAACGCUGGCGGCGUGCCUAAUACAUGCAAGUCGAGCGAACGGACGAGAAGCUUGCUUCUCUGAUGUUAGCGGCGGACGGGUGAGUAACACGUGGAUAACCUACCUAUAAGACUGGGAUAACUUCGGGAAACCGGAGCUAAUACCGGAUAAUAUUUUGAACCGCAUGGUUCAAAAGUGAAAGACGGUCUUGCUGUCACUUAUAGAUGGAUCCGCGCUGCAUUAGCUAGUUGGUAAGGUAACGGCUUACCAAGGCAACGAUGCAUAGCCGACCUGAGAGGGUGAUCGGCCACACUGGAACUGAGACACGGUCCAGACUCCUACGGGAGGCAGCAGUAGGGAAUCUUCCGCAAUGGGCGAAAGCCUGACGGAGCAACGCCGCGUGAGUGAUGAAGGUCUUCGGAUCGUAAAACUCUGUUAUUAGGGAAGAACAUAUGUGUAAGUAACUGUGCACAUAUUGACGGUACCUAAUCAGAAAGCCACGGCUAACUACGUG